AAGUCGUAACAAGGUUUCCGUAGGUGAACCUGCGGAAGGAUCAUUAUUUAAUGUUGUGAUUGUGGGAUUUUGGUGGUGGCCGUUUGGUUGGUUACCCUUGACGGGGUAGUCUGUCAUCCUACACGACCGAUUCUCCUUUCACAUUACCCUUGUGUGAAUUGUAAACCUAAAUGCUUUGACGAGGGGCGACUGUGGUGUGUUUCUGUCGUCUCUGUACACAGCAUACACCACGGCACCACCGGUGAAUAGUGUUGCCUCACAGCAACCCUAGCCACCAAACCUCGUCAAAGACUACACCCACAAAAAUACCUUUGUCUAAACUAAAUCAUCGUGGACCUCUUGCAACAAAGAACCACACCAUUGGAAUAAUAAAAAACAACUUUUAACAACGGAUCUCUUGGCUCUCC
rnacentral:misc_RNA from 1 species